rnacentral:rRNA from 1 species
UGUAAGCGUAUACCAAAGUUGUUGCAGUUAAAACGCUCGUAGUCGGAAUUUGGCAGUUCCGGAUGUGUGCACGUCGUGUGCGCACUUCGCGGGGAUUGCUUUUGUGGUCUUGCGUAGGAUGAGGCACUUUUAUUAGUGAACGUCCUCUCGCAACCACUUUUUACUGUGAGAAAAUCAGAGUGCUCAAAGCAGGCAUUUGCCGUGAAUGUAUUAGCAUGGAAUAAUAGAAUAGGACUUGGUUCUAUUUUGUUGGUUUGUUGGGACUGAGUAAUGAUUAAGAGGGACAGUUGGGGGCAUUUGUAUUUCGGUGCUAGAGGUGAAAUUCUUAGAUUACCGAAAGACAAACUGCUGCGAAAGCGUCUGCCAAGGAUGUUUUCAUUGA